GAUCAGCCACACUGGAACUGACACGGACCAGACUCCUACGGGAGGCAGCAGUAAGGAAUAUUGGUCAAUGGGCGCAAGCCUGAACCAGCCAUGCCGCGUGCAGGAAGACGGCCCUAUGGGUUGUAAACUGCUUUUGUCAGGGAAUAAACCCCCGCUCGUGAGCGGGGCUGAAGGUACCUGAAGAAUAAGCAUCGGCUAACUCCGUGCCAGCAGCCGCGGUAAUACGGAGGAUGCAAGCGUUAUCCGGAUUCAUUGGGUUUAAAGGGUGCGCAGGCGGAUUGGUAAGUCAGGGGUGAAAUCCCACAGCUCAACUGUGGAACUGCCUUUGAUACUGUCAGUCUAGAGUAUAGUUGAAGUUGGCGGAAUGUGUCAUGUAGCGGUGAAAUGCUUAGAUAUGACACAGAACACCGAUCGCGAAGGCAGCUAGCUAAGCUAUAACUGACGCUCAUGCACGAAAGCGUGGGGAUCAAACAGGAUUAGAUACCCUGGUAGUCCACGCU
rnacentral:rRNA from 1 species